UACGUAGGGGGCGAGCGUUGUUCGGAAUUACUGGGCGUAAAGCGCGUGUAGGCGGUUGCCAAAGUCGGGUGUGAAAGCCUUGAGCUCAACUCAAGAAAUGCACUCGAUACUUGGUGACUAGAGGACCGGAGAGGAUAGUGGAAUUCCCAGUGUAGUGGUGAAAUACGUAGAGAUUGGGAAGAACACCAGUGGCGAAGGCGGCUAUCUGGACGGUUUCUGACGCUAAGACGCGAAAGCGUGGGGAGCAAACAGG
rnacentral:rRNA from 1 species